CCUACGGGAGGCAGCAGUGAGGAAUAUUGGUCAAUGGGCGUAAGCCUGAACCAGCCAAGUCGCGUGAGGGAUGAAGGUUCUAUGGAUCGUAAACCUCUUUUAUAAGGGAAUAAAGUGUGGGACGUGUCCUGUUUUGUAUGUACCUUCUGAAUAAGGAUCGGCUAAAUCCGUGCCAGCAGCCGCGGUAAUACGGAGGAUCCGAGCGUUAUCCGGAUUUAUUGGGUUUAAAGGGUGAGUAGGCGGCCUUUUAAGUAAGCGGUGAAAGUCUGUGGCUCAACCAUAGAAUUGCCGUUGAAACUGGGAGGCUUGAGUAUGUUUGAGGCAGGCGGAAUGCGUGGGGUAGCGGUGAAAUGCUUAGAUAUCACGCAGAACCCCGAUUGCGAAGGCAGACUGCCAAGCCAUGACUGACGCUGAUGCACGAAAGCGUGGGGAUCAAACAGGAUUAGAUACCCCAGUAGUC
rnacentral:rRNA from 1 species